CAGUGCCUGGGGUCAUAAUAGGAGGGAAAGAAACAGAUACAGAAGCCCUCCGGGGCGGGGGAGAGGCCACGGGACAGUGGAGGCAGAGAUUGGAGACGUACUGCCAUGAGCCAAGGGAUCCCAAAGAUUGCCAGAAGCCACCAGAGGCUGGAAGAAGGAAGGAUUCUCCCCUAGAGGCUCCAGGGGCAACGUGGGCCUGCCGACAUGUCGAUUUCAGGCCCCUGCCUCCAGAAUAUGACAGAAUACCUGUCCGUUGUUGCAAGGCCCCCAGUGUGUGGCACCUACAAGUAGCAGAUUUUUAUCAGCUCCCCGGCUGGUAACGAUGGCCCCGCUCGCCACCUUCCCCUCUGCUUUCCCGUGGUAAGGCAGCCGCCGUGGUUAGCAGGGAGAAGGGAGCUAACAAGGUGUUGGUACCAGCUCCCUGGAAUGACGGAGACACCCGUAUUUUAAAGGCGCAUCCGGUCAGUUCCACCCCGGCCUGGGGCAGCCUGGCCCAGGGGAGGGCGGCGACACGCUGGAGCGACAGGCCAAGUUCACGGACACCACGAGCGGCCAAACACGGCGCGGCCGGCAGGACGCGCGCCAGGGCUUCAGCCCACAGGUGGCCGGGGUCACCUCCACCUCCGACGUGGGGCUCACGGCGCGCGCAUCCUCCCCGCGUUCUCCACGCGGGCUAGGCCACGUGACUUGCUUUGGCCAAUGGGAAGGAGCGAACGUGGUGCGUGGGGAGGCCGGAAACCGUUCUACUGCUUCUGCGCAACAGGAACGCCGGGUGAGCUGCCUGCGUCCGCUCCCCGGGAGCCUCUGAGCUGAGCUGCUGGCCGGCGCCCUGGAUGCUGCAGGCAGGCCCUCCGCAGAUGAGACGGUGCCCACCCACACCGGGGACGGCAGGCUACCAAGUCUGUGGAUUCGGACGCUGAGCUCAUCCUGGGCCACCCUCACAGACACACCCAGAGACGACGUGCGGGCACCCCACAGCCAGUCAGGUGGACCCCUAAAAUGAACCAUCACAUAUUUGAAUGGAGCUGGCGUUCUGCAGAACGUGGAAGUCCAAACUGUCACGAAGCCACCGGCUCCCGUGCUCCCGGAGCCACGACAGUGUGAAGAUGUUGUCCUCGCCUCCAAAUCUGAUCAACAUGUCUUCUGUUUCACGGGAGAUGAGCAGACAGAGGAAAACGAACCAUCAGGAUCACCUUCGGUGCGACGCACCCGCCCUCAGCCCCGAGGUGCAAAGACCUUCCCAAGUUCUUUUAACUCCAUCCAGCACCUUCUGUUAAGCCAGUGGUGGGGCAAAGCUCCUGUCCAUCUGCAUAUCCAAGACCCUCCCUCUGGCCUGCGUUAUAGUUCUGGGUGGGAAGCCCCGUGCAGGCAGGGGCUACGUCAGGUGUGGCCCACACCAGGGUCCCCAGCCCCCAGCCUGUGCAAGUGCGGGGGGAUCGAGGGCAAGACGGUUGCCGCCGCAUAGUGACUCCUCCAGCUACACCCAGGCGUCCCCUCCCAGCAGGUGGAAGAGGACGAAGUUCUGGGGAACGUGAUGCGCAGCGUGGAGGCUGUGGCUCGUGACCCGCAAUUGUAUUCCUUGCAUUCGCUGAGAGUGGAUUUCGUGGGCUCUCACCACGCGCACACGCGCCAAGGAGACUUGCAAUAAAUGUUAAUUAGCUUGAUGGGGGCAAUCAUUUCACGACGUAGGUGCGUAUCAGGGCGUAACGUCGUGCACCUUAAGUGUGUGUGGUUUGUGUCGGUCACCCCGCAAUGAAGACGAACAAAAGUCCCUGCUCUUCCAGACCUUCUGGUGGCUUCUGGUAAACUCAAGGCGUCUUCUGUCGUUUCAGUAUGCAUAGCACAUUCUAGUUGUCACUCUCAUGUGACCGAGCACAACAGUGAGCAAUAAAGAAGCAGCUGGGGCUCCAAGGAGCUUCCGGUCCGGUUAAGGAACUGAGUAGUGAGUGCAGAAGAGGAACUCUGGCCUCUCCCAGGGGAAGGGAAGUGGGGACAGACCAGGAGGAGGAGGAGGCCGAGUUAACCAGGGAAAGGGGGAAGGGCAGAGCGAACCGGGCAGGGCAAACAGCAGGUGUAAAGGCCCUGUGGCAAGUAGUGAUGUGGGAAACAAAGGUGGAAGGAAAUGACAGAUAAAAUUCAAUUUCCUUAUAUCCUGCAGCCCAUUGGCAACUCCUUGAGGCUGGCAGAGUUUAGCGGCUCUCCAGGAGCCCCUUACUGUCUCAGUGCUCAUGCGUCCCUAGAGGGAAACACCACCUUAGCCUGACAGUAGCUCCUAGGCCUCCACUCUCUUGGGAAUCUCCUUUAGCAGAUGAAAAUCUCACUGGAAAUUUCCCCUCGACUUUAUGUACCUGCCCCCACUCCCAAGUAUAUAACCAGUGUCUCUUCGUGGUCCUGAGGCAGCUCUUUCUGCCCCCGGGUCCUGUCCCUGUGCUUUAAUAAAAUUACCUUUUUGCACCGAA